rnacentral:rRNA from 1 species
CAAUAGCGUAUAUUAAAGUUGUUGCAGUUAAAAAGCUCGUAGUUGGAUCUCGGGUCCAGGCUUGCGGUUCUGCUCGUGCAGAUACUGCUCGUCCUGACCUACCUGCCGGUGUUCCCCUGGUGCCCUUAGCUGGGUGUCUCGGGUGGCCGGAACGUUUACUUUGAAAAAAUUAGAGUGUUCAAAGCAGGCGGUCUGCCUGAAUAAUGGUGCAUGGAAUAAUAGAAAAGGACCUCGGUUCUAUUUUGUUGGUUUUCGGAACUUGAGGUAAUGAUUAAGAGGGACAGACGGGGGCAUUCGUAUUACGGUGUUAGAGGUGAAAUUCUUGGAUCGCCGUAAGACGAACUACUGCGAAAGCAUUUGCCAAGAAUGUUUUCAUUAA